rnacentral:rRNA from 1 species
AGAGUUUGAUCCUGGCUCAGGACGAACGCUGGCGGCGUGCUUAACACAUGCAAGUCGAACGGUAAGGCUCCUUUUUUGGGGUACACGAGUGGCGAACGGGUGAGUAACACGUGAGUAACCUGCCCUCAUCUCUGGGAUAACAGUCGGAAACGGUUGCUAAUACUGGAUAUGAGCUUUCAAGGCAUCUUGUUGGUUGGAAAGAUUAUUUUUUGGUUGGGGAUGGACUCGCGGCCUAUCAGCUUGUUGGUGAGGUAGUGGCUCACCAAGGCUUCGACGGGUAGCCGGCCUGAGAGGGCGACCGGCCACAUUGGGACUGAGAUACGGCCCAAACUCCUACGGGAGGCAGCAGUGGGGAAUAUUGCACAAUGGACGGAAGUCUGAUGCAGCAACGCCGCGUGCGGGAUGACGGCCUUCGGGUUGUAAACCGCUUUCAAUUGUGACGAAGCUUUUUGUGACGGUAGCAGUAGAAGAAGCACCGGCUAACUACGUGCCAGCAGCCGCGGUGAUACGUAGGGUGCGAGCGUUGUCCGGAUUUAUUGGGCGUAAAGAGCUUGUAGGUGGUUUGUCGCGUCGGGAGUGAAAACUCAGGGCUUAACUCUGAGCUUGCUUUCGAUACGGGCUGACUUGAGGGAGGUAGGGGAGAAUGGAAUUCCUGGUGGAGCGGUGGAAUGCGCAGAUAUCAGGAGGAACACCGGUGGCGAAGGCGGUUCUCUGGACCUUUCCUGACGCUGAGAAGCGAAAGCGUGGGGAGCAAACAGGCUUAGAUACCCUGGUAGUCCACGCUGUAAACGGUGGGUACUAGGUGUGGGGGACAUUCCACGUUCUCCGUGCCGUAGCUAACGCAUUAAGUACCCCGCCUGGGGAGUACGGCCGCAAGGCUAAAACUCAAAGGAAUUGACGGGGCCCCGCACAAGCGGCGGAGCAUGCGGAUUAAUUCGAUGCAACGCGAAGAACCUUA